rnacentral:rRNA from 1 species
CAGUAGCCGCGGUAAUACGUAGGUGGCAAGCGUUGUCCGGAAUUAUUGGGCGUAAAGGGCUCGCAGGCGGUUUCUUAAGUCUGAUGUGAAAGCCCCCGGCUCAACCGGGGAGGGUCAUUGGAAACUGGGAAACUUGAGUGCAGAAGAGGAGAGUGGAAUUCCACGUGUAGCGGUGAAAUGCGUAGAGAUGCGGAGGAACACCAGUGGCGAAGGCGACUCUCUGGUCUGUAACUGACGCUGAGGAGCGAAAGCGUGGGGAGCGAACAGGAUUAGAUACCCCAGUAGUCCCUGUCUCUUAUAC